rnacentral:rRNA from 1 species
CGCGUAGGCGGCCUGCUAAGUCGAACGUGAAAUCCCCGGGCUCAACCCGGGAACUGCGUCCGAUACUGGCAGGCUUGAAUCCGGGAGAGGGAUGCGGAAUUCCAGGUGUAGCGGUGAAAUGCGUAGAUAUCUGGAGGAACACCGGUGGCGAAGGCGGCAUCCUGGACCGGCAUUGACGCUGAGGCGCGAAAGCCAGGGGAGCAAAC